UUUGAAAUCUGGCCCCCGGGUCCGAGUUGUAAUUUGCAGAGGAUGCUUUGGGCGAGGUGCCUUCCGAGUUCCCUGGAACGGGACGCCACAGAGGGUGAGAGCCCCGUCUGGUCGGACACCGAGCCCGUGUAAAGCUCCUUCGACGAGUCGAGUAGUUUGGGAAUGCUGCUCAAAAUGGGAGGUAUAUGUCUUCUAAAGCUAAAUAUUGGCCAGAGACCGAUAGCGCACAAGUAGAGUGAUCGAAAGAUGAAAAGCACUUUGAAAAGAGGGUUAAAAAGUACGUGAAAUUGUUGAAAGGGAAGCGCCUAUGACCAGACUUGGGCCCGGUGAAUCAUCCAGCGUUCUCGCUGGUGCACUUUGCCGGGCACAGGCCAGCAUCAGUUUGGCGCGGGGGACAAAGGCUUCGGGAAUGUGGCUCCCCCGGGAGUGUUAUAGCCCGCUGCGUAAUACCCUGCGCCGGACUGAGGUACGCGCAUCGCAAGGAUGCUGGCGUAAUGGUCAUCAGCGACCCGUCUUGAAACACGGACCAAGGAGUCGUCUUCGUAUGCGAGUGUUCGGGUGUCAAACCCCUACGCGGAAUGAAAGUGAACGCAGGUGAGAGCUUCGGCGCAUCAUCGACCGAUCCUGAUGUUCUCGGAUGGAUUUGAGUAAGAGCAUACGGGGCCGGACCCGAAAGAAGGUGAACUAUGCCUGUAUAGGGUGAAGCCAGAGGAAACUCUGGUGGAGGCUCGCAGCGGUUCUGACGUGCGAAUCGAUCGUCAAAUAUGGGCAUGGGGGCGAAAGACUAAUCGAACCUUCUAGUAGCUGGUUUC
rnacentral:rRNA from 1 species